AGAGUUUGAUCCUGGCUCAGGAUGAACGCUGGCGGCAUGCCUAAUACAUGCAAGUCGAACGAGGAUCCUUCGGGAUCCUAGUGGCGAACGGGUGAGUAACACGUAGGGAACCUGCCCGCGCACCGGGAAUACGCUCUGGAAACGGAGAACAAAUCCCGAUGUACAGGAAGGAGGCAUCUUCUUUCUGUGAAACAUCCUGUAAGGGAUGGGGCGCGGAUGGACCUGCGGUGCAUUAGUUGGUUGGCGAGGGUAAAGGCCCACCAAGACGAUGAUGCAUAGCCGGCCUGAGAGGGCGGACGGCCACAUUGGGACCGAGACACGGCCCAGACUCCUGCGGGAGGCAGCAGUAGGGAAUUUUCGUCAAUGGGCGCAAGCCUGAACGAGCGAUGCCGCGUGAGUGAAGAAGGCCUUCGGGUCGUAAAGCUCUGUUGCGGGGGAAAAAAGCAUCUGCAGGAAAUGGUAGAUGACAGAUGGUGCCCCGCCAGAAAGUCACGGCUAACUACGUGCC
rnacentral:rRNA from 1 species